rnacentral:lncRNA from 1 species
GUUUUCUCAGGGAUAACUAUAAGUUAAAUCUAAGUUAUAUUACGAGUUAGAUCUAAACUAUACUAUGAUCUAUACCUAAGCUAUUACUAGCUAUGUUAUUACUAAAUUACUACCUAAGUGACUUACUGGUUACUAUGGACUUAGUUAAGUUACCUAUAGGCAGUGUUAUUAAACCCGGCCCGGCCCGGCCGGUCGACCAAAAACCCAGUGACCCAGUCAGAAGACCGGGCCGGUUAUCUAAUUAAAUCAUUUAUGCUUAAAAUCUGAUUAAAACCGCAUGAACCGG